CAGAAGCAUUACACUGUAUUAUACUGUCUGGAUGCAAAUCAAAGACUUUACAACAAGUUCUCACUCUCAUCUUGUGAAAUACGGACGUUUGGUCAGGUGCUUUUGCCGUUGUCAUUGACGCUAAAAGGCUCAAUGGUGAAUUU